rnacentral:lncRNA from 1 species
CAUAUUUGAACUUUCCACAAUUGGCCAGCCAAUCAUCCACAUGUUUUUGAGUGAAAACUUGGAGCAACUCUUUAAGCUUCUUUGCAUUUGAUCUUGUUAUUGGUCCGCUGAAAUUUUUCAGGUUUGGAACUCUAUUUGUGUUUAUAUCAUUUGAAAUUUACUCCAAGUCACCUUUUAAUAUUCUUUGAGUAUCUUUAACGUUUUUAGUAUUGUUUGCAUCAUUUCCCCUCCCCUCAAAAGGAUUCGUCCUUGAAUCAAUUCUUGCAUCAAUUUUAAAAUGGGAUAAAUCAGAUAUGUUAAAUGUAGCCGAAACACUAUCCUCACCUGAUAGGUCCACUUUGUAGGCAAUUUCAUUGAUUUUGGCUAUGACUUGAAAUGGACCAUCCCCACGAGCAUCCAACUUAGAUUUUCGUUUUGAUGGAAAUCGUUCCUUGGGCAUAUGAACCCACACCCAAUCUCCAGGCAAUGAAAUCUUGCG